rnacentral:rRNA from 1 species
AGUGAACGCUGGCGGUAGGCCUAACACAUGCAAGUCGAACGGCAGCACAGUAAGAGCUUGCUCUUACGGGUGGCGAGUGGCGGACGGGUGAGGAAUACAUCGGAAUCUACUUUUUCGUGGGGGAUAACGUAGGGAAACUUACGCUAAUACCGCAUACGACCUACGGUUGAAAGCAGGGGAUCUUCGGACCUUGCUCGAUUGAAUGAGCCGAUGUCGGAUUAGCUAGUUGGCGGGGUAAAGGCCCACCAAGGCGACGAUCCGUAGCUGGUCUGAGAGGAUGAUCAGCCACACUGGAACUGAGAAACGGUCCAGACUCCUACGGGAGGCAGCAGUGGGGAAUAUUGGACAAUGGGCGCAAGCCUGAUCCAGCCAUACCGCGUGGGUGAAGAAGGCCUUCGGGUUGUAAAGCCCUUUUGUUGGGAAAGAAAAGCAGCAGGUUAAUACCCCGCUGUUCUGACGGUACCCAAAGAAUAAGCACCGGCUAACUUCGUG